CUCAAGACCUGCCGGCGUUUGCCCGGAAAUAUCCGAAGCUGCAGAAAGACGUCCUUGUUUACAACUUAAAUAGAGGAAACCCGGAAAAUGGGAGCCAGACGUCAUGGACUUACUUUGGGAUUAAAUACAUACAGCUGACUACUGAGAGCACAUGCAUCCAUACAGCCGUCAGCCGACCCAGACUAGUCCAGAGCUCGGCCCACUCACCAACGUUGAACAGGCUGUGACAGCGGAAAACCGUAAACAUGCAGCGGCGUGGACACAUUAAUCUAAAGGAUGAUGCAAGAUUUUAUGUUACUACUAAAAGAGACAAAGUGGGACUUGAAAUCAAGUACAUCAAGGCUGUAAAAGGUCGUGGCAUCUUCACCCCUGUUCCGUUUGAAAAGGGAGACUUUCUACUGGAAUACAGAGGUGAUCGGAUAAGCAAGAAUGUGAGAGGAGACACAGAAUUUCCCAGGACCUGCUCAAAGUGUUCAUGUUUGAGUUCCGUUUUAAUGGAAAACUGUGGUGCUGACUACUGAGAGCACAUGCAUCCAUACAGCCGUCAGCCGACCCAGACUAGUCCAGAGCUCGGCCCACUCACCAACGUUGAACAGGAUCGGUGUCAUUUGUGUCGUCCACAGUGGAUGAGAGUAUACCUCCCUCUGAAGGGAAUUAUGCUGAUAAAGCGCAUGGAUCCAGAAGAAUUGCAAAGAAAGUGUGGUCUAAGGCUGAGGGCGCCGCAGUAAUGCAACAUUUCAGAAAUCAUAUAAGCAGAAGAAAGAUGGCCACCAAAACUGAAUGCAGUCCCUGCAAACUGGUGAAAGACCUCGUGUUGGCACAGAGAACCGUGCAAAAUAUAUAGAUAUAUAUAUUAUAUAAAUAUAAGGGACUUCGAAACAGAGGAGUAGCUUCAAAGAGGCAGUCCCAAAAAGAUACGAUUUAAAUCCACUGACGGUUGUGGUGGUGUUUGUUUUAAAAAGUGUUACAAGUUGUUAAAGUGUUAUAGGUUGUAAUGGUGUUUUAAAGGUUCAGUACAAAAAUCCACCAAAACAAACGGCACAGUUUUAUUUAUUUUUCUUAUUAGAAACCAUGGGCCUUUUGAAGUUAGGUAACCCCCAAUUUCCACAGGAUACGUAACGGCUGCAUGACGGCUCCGUGCUCCGCCGUUCACAUUUUUUGCAGAAUGGCAGUGGCCAUGACUGACAGCUGAAGUCACAAGGACCCCAAAACCCCAAAACUACCACCAGUUUCCAUCCAGAGGAGUAGAGGGGAACAACUCUGUGUUGUUUCCAAGGUGGAGUGCAGGGAGAUAUGAUCCACCGUGAGCAUGGUGUAUUUUAUUUUGAAAAUGAACCGGAUGUUUUAGAAACUAACUGGUGGUGGUUUUGUGGUUCUAUUUUUACGUGAUCUCGCGGAUCCUUGAGACUUCAGCUGUCAGUCAUGGCCGCAUCCGGACCUGGUGGGCGUUGAAGGACGGCGGAGCACGGACCUGACACGCAGCCGUUCUGCAACCGGUGAGAAUUGAGUAAAAAAAAGCUAAAUUAACUGGUCAUGGCAUUUGUGUUGUGUGACAAUUUAUUGUUUAGCUGUUCUAGGCUGCUAUCUGACUGUUGGUCAGUGUUACCAACUGACAAUGGUGGUUGUUUGAGUUAUACAAUAAAAAAAAAUUAAGUCCCAAUAUUCCUUCGUGAUGUCAGGUUAAUGUGUGUUUAUGUUAAUUAGCAGGUAUUUAAAAAGUGAUGUCAUUGUCCCUUUAAAGUCCCAGUAAUGUUUUUUGGUCCUUAUAAGCCGCAUAUUUGUCAAAAGUGGAACUGUCUCUACAAACCACCAUAGUUUUAGGGGGGGGGUGUAUCGAGCUCUGAAGGGUGUAUCCGAAGUCUAAAGUGAUGUGAAUUUUUUUCAAUUUUUUUACAGUGUUUAAAUCAAACUCCCAUAGCUCUAGGACCUCAGGAAAGGGUAGUCCACCUAAACCACACCCGGGCCUGUUUGGACAAAAAGUCUGGCUAAACCACAAAAACCCGUAUGUGUGUGUGUGUGUGUGUGUGUGUGUGUGUGUGUGUGUGUGUG